rnacentral:tRNA from 1 species
UGGGGUAUAGCUCAGUGGUACAGCACAUGCUUAGCAUGAACAGAGUCCUGGGUUCAAUCCCCAGUACCGCUA